GCGGAGAUCCUGGCCUCAGCUUCCCAGCAGAGGGCUCUUCUGCAGAAAGUGAUCCCAGGAUAGGGGGCUGCCAUGGGAGUCAGGGAUUUGCACCCCAAAUUUCAGGUGGUAUCUGAGCUCUGUGUGUCCUUCCUACCCACCUCUCAGGUGCUACUUACAUCUGAUAAACUCAAGUGGUGGACAGAACAGAGAGGGCCUCCUCCAAGGUGACUUGCUAAGUCCUCCCCUAACGACGAAAUAGAGAAGCUUCCUGCCCCUGUUACACAUGGCCUCCUCCCGGGCCCAGCAGCUCACCUGGACCACGGAAAGCACAGAAAGAACUGGCUGAAUGAAUCAAGAGAUCAAGUGUUCUCCCUGAGGCCCUGUAACAGCUCUGCAGCUGACUGCCCAGAAGGAAGCAGAAGUGAGUGACAAGUUGGGGGAACCAGAGCUUGCACACCAUAGGCCUGAACACUAGCCUCUGGGGAAAGGCAAGUCCAGCUGACCUUGGUGAAGUUAGGACCCGGGCCGAGGCCACCUCUUCUGGUUCACCCUCUGCUGGCCUCCCAGCUUCUUUGGCUCAGCAACACCCAGGAUUCCAGGCAUGUUUGCCUCUGGCCUUCUAAAAAUACCCAGGCCACCCAGCACCUCCCAGAUGUCUGAGCGCUGAGUCUGUGAUUUCCCUGCCGGUAAUGGGACAGCCCCGGGGUGGGCAGGCGGGGGUGGCUCGAGCAGCUCAAGCCACUUCCUCUGCCUCCCAUCCCCUAGCCUACCAGAAGCUGGACCCAGCCCUGCCUCCCAAUCCUUGCAAGGCAAAGGAGGGUAGAGGCUAGCAGACCUCAGAGAUUGUUGACUCCAGUCUCUUCUUGGGACAGAUGGGAGAUCUGAAGUCUAAGGAUUGCUCAUGGCACUUGUGCCAUUAAGGUCCUCCUCACCCCACUCCCCAGCACUGUGUUCAUGCCUGCUGCUGUCUCACUUCCCACAUGCUACUUGGAGUCUAGGUCUUGGAGCCCAACCUGACUUCCUCCAUGCAGCUGAAAGCUCCUGACAGCAGUGAAGGGGAGGAUCCCUGUGGUCUCCAUGGUGCCUGGAAGAGUGUCCAAUCCAGAGCACACCAUCAGUAAACGUAGAUUGGAUUGAACAAUGUAGUGGCAGCUGGGGCAAUGGGUGGAGCACUGGGCUGGAGGACAAAGCCUCUGAAUUCUAUCUAGCCCAGGGUCAGCCACUGUGAUACUAUGCAUCCUCAUCAAUUGCCCUGGACAAACCUGUUUCUCCUGGGCUGGAUAGGAUGGUGUCUAAGGACUGAGCCAGCUCUGCUGAUAUGAAGCUGCAAGCUGAUGCCCUGCUGGAUAUUCCUGUCCCUUCUCUGCUCUACUGUAUGUCUGGGAGAGAUGGCACAACCUGUAGGUUCCAUCAGCUCCAGGUUCUCAGCUUCUGCUCCUCCCUCCGUGCUUCUGAACAUUCCACCUCUGGUCCUAGCCCCUGAGGCCCAGCUCUUCCAAUAGUGCCACUUCCACCUCUGCUGCUGGGUACACAGGGGUGAAUGCAUACCUACCUCGCUCACUAAUCAUGUGACCUUGGGUAAGGCAUUGCCCUUUUCUGGGCUUCAGUUUUAUCAUAUCUAAAAGGGAAUAAUAAGGCCUACCUUAAAGGAGUGCUAUGAGGAUGUAGGAGAUUCCAUAGCUCAGAUGUCAGGUUAUAUAUCACCUCCUGCAGAAAGUCUCCCCUGUCCUCCCAAGGAUGGCUCAGAUAGCAUUUGUUGCUGGCUCUUCAGUUCUGACCUUCCCAUGUUCACACUAUGUGGUCAUUGGCUCUCUAUGCAUCCAUCCCCCACCAAGCUGUGGGCUCCUCAAGGCCAGGAGUCUCCAGGACCCAGUACAGGACCUUUACAGAUGAAGUGCCUGGGAACGUUUUUUGACAGACACAGUGGGUGAGUAAAGCCUGAGAGAAAGGCAAGGGGUUGUGCAGAAGUCUGGGAGUCUGAGUAAGAAGUGGCCUGACUGACAGGGCAAGUUCUGGUGGUAUGAAUAUUGACAGCUGCUUGGAGCCCUUCCCCCAUUUCCCUGCUUGGUAAAUUCAUCCUUCAAGAUCCCAGGAGAGCAUCUCCUUCCCUGAGAAACCUGAUCACUCUCCCCUCUACCACAUUACACACUCCACUGUAGGUGUUCUUUACACACCUGUCUCCCUUCUCAGAUGUGAGUUCCCUGAAGGCAAGACCCUGUUGGAUCUCACAGCACCAAGCACUAGAUCUGGCAUGAGUUAGUCAAGGUUUUGGAGCAGAAGAAUGGAUGGAGGAAAUAAUUUCUGAAUCGAACUUGGAAUUGAACUGCCUGAACUUUAAUGCCCUUUCCAGCCUUAGGGAUGAUAAUGAAUUACCAAAGUGAGAAAAAUGGAGGCGCAAGCUGUUGUCAUCCUUCCAGAGGCACCCUCCAAGUGUGUGUGGGUGAAAUGUGAGCUGGAGAGAGGAUUGACAAAGAGCAGUGAAAACAUAUUCCUGGACCCCAUUCUUUUUUUUUUUUUUUUUUUUUUUGAGAUGGAAUUUCCCUCUUGUCAUCCAGGCUGAAGUGCAAUAGCUCAAUCUCGGCUCACUGCAACCUCCACCUCCCAGGUUCAAGCGAUUCUCCUGCCUCAGCCUCCCGAGUAGCUGGGAUUACAGACACACACCACCACGCCCAGCUAUUUUUUGUAUUUUUAGUAGAGAUGGGGUUUCACCAUGUUGGCCAGGCUGGUCUCGAACUCCUGACCUCAGGUGAUCCACCUGCCUCGGCCUCCCAAAGUGCUGGGAUUACAGGCAUGAGCCACUGUGCCUGGCCUGAACCCCAUUUUUAUCUCUGGAUUUUUCUCUCUGUUGAAGAAUUGCUGCAGAAACCAUAUUCUAAGUAUAAAAGGCCUUUAGAUACCUAAGAUGAUCCCCAGAACCUUGAUGUGAAUCCAUUUACUCAUACUUUACAUUCUCACUUUACACUUUGAGCAUGAAGCCCAUGGUGAUCUGGUUGUAAAAGGUUUAAAGGUUAAUUGGCAGCCAAUGUUGGGGGUGAGAAGUUGCUGCUGCAGGCAGGCAGGUAUUCACCAAGGCAGCAGAGAGAGGAGGCAUCUGCCAGGCUGGUAGAAAGGAAAUAGAAAAAGAAAACAGGCCGAGAGCGGAGGCUCAGGCCUGUAAUCCCAGCACUAUGGGAGGCCAAGGCGGGCGGAUUGCUUGGUUGCAGUGAGCCAAGAUCGUGCACUACACUACAGCCUGGGUGACAGGGCGAGACUCCAUCUUAAAAAAUCAUAAUAAAUAAAAUAAAAAUACAAAAAUUAUCCAGGUGUGGUUGUGCAUGCUGUCGUCCCAGCUACUCGGGG
rnacentral:lncRNA from 1 species